rnacentral:misc_RNA from 1 species
AAUCAAAGAAAAACAAAACAAAACAAAAACAUCAAAAAAAAGAACUAAGUGAUAAUAACACUUUUCAUGGCUGGCCUUCAAUACAAUUUCUUCCCAACAGAUCUCCUUUAUCCCCUCCAAAAAACAAAGAAAGACAUCAACACUUCCCAACAAAACUCUCUUCUAAUCAAAACCAAAAAGAAUAGUGAUAAUGAAAUUUUAGAUGAUUCGAAAUCAUAUAAUAACUCCAUCAGUAACACCAACAACAAUAAUAAUGUCCUUAUAGCCAAUUCCUCUUUUGUCUUGGCUCCUAUUACAAAACACAAGGAAAA